UGUUUGUUGGCUUGCAGAUCUUGUUCGUGUUUCAGGAAGGACUGUAUGUUCAGCAGAGUGUAUGUGAGAGCAGGACGCUUUGCUGUGGUGAUGUGUCUGUGUUUUGGAGUGUGUCCAUGUCCAACUGUAAUAUACUUAUCUUUAUUGAUGUGCUUUAUGAUGGGUGGAUUGCAGAUCUGACAGGUUCUUUCUAUGCAUUUGUGAAGCUGCACCAGGCUCGGCACUAGACGACCCCAGUCCUGACAGUAACCCUAGAACAACCCCAACAUUCAGCAGGGGCUGGCUCCUGCUCCCUUCAUUCAUACUAAUUUGUGCUUUACCCCAUGACUGGUUUGCCUGAAGCUGCUGGGAAUACUUGUGAAGUGUGCAACACAAAUGCAGGACAAGCAAGGCUUGAAAAACGCAGGCAAAAAUUAGAGCUGUGCAGUGUUGGAACUCAGCAGUGUUUUCCACUGGGAAAAUGACGUUCUUGUGACACAGGGUGUCUCUCUUUUUCUUGAUUAAAAAUCUGAACUUUUCUUUGUGAAAGAUGGUAUUUGGAAGUUUCUGUUGAAACUGAAAAAUGAUUAAGUUUUUCAGUAUGGAUUUAAGAUUUUUUUUUAAGAACAACCUAGAAAAAGUAUCCCUCUUCUUCUCUCCAAAUCAAGGAAAUCAAAGUUACAAGUGAAAUGAGAUUUUUGACAGAAGCAAGAACGUUUUUUAACAUUUUUAUUAACUAGAAUUAGCACUAGUAUUAUUCUUGUUUCCCUUGUGUUAGUACUAAUACAGGUAUCUGCUUGUGCACUUAGGCUUAAUGUAGAACAGUCUGCCUUUCUGAGGGCAUUUGAUCUUAGUUGGGUAUGUGAGAAUUUGGGGUCCUGCUGUACCUGUGACAUUGUCAGUGCUAAAUACAGCUGUGCAAAAGCACUGAAAAAGAUGGGGUGAACCUUUAGCUGUGUUUGCGUUGAACACUAUAUGUGACCACGUGGGGAGAAGACACAUCCAUGUGGAUAUGGUGUUAGUCCUUCACAGAGAGGAGGUCUGGAAGGUGAUAGUCCUGCUUCUUGGCAGCUGCUGAAUGACUUACACAAUGAAGUUUCUUUCCAGCACAGCGAGAGAAGAAGGAAAGCUUCCAAAUGCUUCUUAUGCAGCUGAUUGACAUCAAAAUGCAGGCUGAGGGUUCAUAUCUGAGCCUCUUGGAACAAUGAUAUUCCUGAGGAAAACUUGAUCCAGAUGGAUCCAGUUGCCCAAAUAGACACAGGAAUGUAUGAAGCACAGGAUCUACCUGGAUGUCUGUGUUUAUUAAGCCUGCAUCCACAGGAGAGUGUCUUACUGGCUGAGCAGUGUGUAUCAUGCCUCAAGGGUCUGCGUUUGCAUGUGUUAAUCAGUCUGGGUGGGUUUGUCUGGGUAUACCUGUGACACGUGUGCUUAAGCAGUGUGGGUGCAAGCAGUGUUGUUGGUUUAGUAGCUGGCAUGCAGAUCUGGGAGAAUCAUAGUAUCACAGAAUGGUUGAUGUGGGAAGGGGAACUUCUUGUCCAACCCCACUUCUCAAGCAGGGCCACCCAGAGUCAGUUGCCCAGGACCAUACUCAGGCAUCCCUCCUGGUCUUCCUGGCUGUAGUUGCAACCACAAGGAAAGUUACAAGGCUCAGUUAGGCAGCACUGGCCCUGUCAGUAAAUAAUUGUGCAGUUCAGGCUUCAGUUUGGGAUUUUUUUUUUUCCGCUGGAUUUGACUCCAUAGAGAAUCAGCCAGACUGUGCUGAGCUGGUCCCAUCUGCACCCAACCUGGAGAGCAGCUUUAUCUUGCCUUGUAAAACUGCAGAGCUCUGUGACAAAAGAGUUAAUCUCUGCCUUUGUUUCUCUUCCACUCUCUCUUCUCUCUUGCAGUGGGACUGAAAGGCAAGAUGAGAGCAGAUCCAUCAGUGUCAGCUGCUUUCAGCACAUCAGCACUUUUGGGGGGUUUAUUGGGGACUAGCCCAUCAGCAGUGCUUCCAAACUGCAAACAUGCUGCAGACAGGCCCCUCCUCCCAUGCAGCAGCCAGGCUGCCUGGGGAAGGAGCGAAGGGACCCCAGUGCCACUGGCUAGGGACUGGGUGAUAAAUGACUGCAUAAGGCAUCUCCAUGGCUAGUAAAGUCCAGAGGGUAGGCCAGAGCCAAGCUUCUGGAGAGGCAGCAGUGAAACCAUGUUAAUUCCUGGGCUUGCAUCCAUGUGUGUCUGUGUGUCUGUACUGUCUGAAAUAAUACACUUGACACAAACACACAUGCUUAGCUUCCAGCACACACAGUAACAUGGAAGAGGGGUGAAAGAGAGAAAAUAACCUGAUUGACAGGUUAAUGAAGCAGUUCAUAACAGCAAAGUAUAUUAUAACCUUAGAAACAGCUUGUAAAUACCCAGUUGCUUUACAUGUAUAAACAUACUUCCCUGCCUAGCUCUGCGUAUAUACAUUUGCCAAUAUAUGAAAUGUACGUGCCUGUUUA